CCAAUAUGAAAAAUUCCCCUCCUGCUGCACGCCUCCGACCUCAGGGCCAGGGUUAAAGGAAAAAGCAAAAGAAGGACGAAGCAGCUCGGCCCGGGAAAGCUCUGGAGCGCCCAGCUGACUUGCACAACUCACCCGCUUCCGGAGCGUUACCUGCCUUCUUGACUGAAUGCCACCAGUUUCUUUCACGUUCGUCGCGUGUCCCUCCCUCUCUGUCUCCCCUCCCCCACGCCCUCCUGCUUAACGGCAAAAGAGCCUUUAUUUGACCUCGGUAAAUUUCUCCUUCGGUGGACACCGAACUAAAAAGGAAAAUUAUUGGCUAAGGGCUUGUGUUUUGGAGGUGGGUGAUGGAAUGACCACAAAUAGGAAGGGUCCGAGAGUUUUAAGGAAUGCGUCUGUUGAAUGUCUCAGGCCUGUGAGGUGUGUUCCCUUCAGACUGCCAGGCUCGCACUCAGGGCUGGACUUGAUGAAAAAAAGAAGCUUUACAAGUAACCCAGUUUCUCCAACUUAUUUGAGAUGCUGCUUAGAAGUCAAGCAACAAAAUCCAGCCAAGUUUUGCUUGCAAUUUACAAUGGUAUUGCUGAAACCUGGGAAGUGAUCAGUUAGAAGCAGACACCCCCAAACAGUCUCUGGCCACACAGUGAUAGCUGCCCCCACGAAUCCUUCCUUCGAAGCCUUUUGGCCUGAACUGAGAAUUUGUGGGUGUCUCCUGACCGUCCCGGGGAAGGCUCGCAGAGGAAGAGGCUACUUGAAACCCCGCGAAGCCUCAGCGCCCGCGCGUGUUUGGCGGCCCCGGGGAAGUGCAGCGCGCGCCCCGCGCACCUC